rnacentral:rRNA from 1 species
CACGUAGGGGGCGAGCGUUGUCCGGAAUUACUGGGCGUAAAGGGCGUGUAGGCGGCCGAUCAAGUCAGGUGUGAAAAAUCAGGGCUUAACCCUGAUCGUGCACUUGAAACUGGUUGGCUUGAGUGCAGGAGAGGAAAGUGGAAUUCCCAGUGUAGCGGUGAAAUGCGUAGAUAUUGGGAGGAACACCAGUGGCGAAGGCGACUUUCUGGACUGCAACUGACGCUGAGGCGCGAAAGCUAGGGGAGCAAACAGGAUUAGAUACCCUGGUAGUCCUAGCCGUAAACGAUGGGUACUAGGUGUAGGGGGUUUAGACGCCCUCUGUGCCGCAGUUAACACAUUAAGUACCCCGCCUGGGGAGUACGGCCGCAAGGCUGAAACUCAAAGGAAUUGACGGGGGCCCGCACAAGCGGUGGAGCAUGUGGUUUAAUUCGAAGCAACGCGAAGAACCUUACCAAGGCUUGACAUAUAUCCGGCGGUUUAGGAAACUAAACUUUCUCUUCGGAGACGGAUAUACAGGUGGUGCAUGGUU